UCAUGCCUCCUUCUCCCUUUCCUUUCAAGGUGCCAGGCAAGCGGACAGCGACGUGGGCAUCGAGACUUGGGUGGCUUUUUCCCUCUGGCCAUCCGAAGUGUUUUCCCUUUUUCUGGAGAUUGAUUAACGGAAAGAAGAAACAAUAUUGCAAGGAUCAAGAAGUCACAAAUAUUUAGAAACAAUGUUCUGAAGGUGGAAUAUGACCCAUUCGGAUCUGCAGAUUUACAAUAAGAAUGGAUACAUAUAAUACAUUUUAUUUUGUCAAAAUACAUUUUAUCUGGCCAAACUGUCAGAUACGCAGAUAUCACACAUGUUUCCAUGCACAACAUACAAAAACACACCUCUAUCUUUUUUUAAAAAAAUGGGACAAUUGGAUGAGUAUAUACAUCCCAAGUGUUACCGAUCACGGGCCACUUCAUAAAGCAAUACAUGAACAAACUAGGCUGGAAACCCUAGCCAUAUGGCAACUUUCAAUAUGCCUACUUGAUACGUGCAUGCAUGUUUUAAAUGUCAGCUGUAACUUUCAUGAUGUAUGUGUUUAGAAUGAUUAAAGUAGUCAUUUACCACCAA